rnacentral:rRNA from 1 species
AACGAACGCUGGCGGCAUGCCUAACACAUGCAAGUCGAACGAGACCUUCGGGUCUAGUGGCGCACGGGUGCGUAACGCGUGGGAACCUGCCCUUAGGUUCGGAAUAACUCCCCGAAAGGGGUGCUAAUACCGGAUAAUGUCUUCGGACCAAAGAUUUAUCGCCUUUGGAUGGGCCCGCGUUGGAUUAGCUAGUUGGUAGGGUAAAAGCCUACCAAGGCGACGAUCCAUAGCUGGUCUGAGAGGAUGAUCAGCCACACUGGGACUGAGACACGGCCCAGACUCCAAGGGAGGGAGGAGGUGGGAAUAAUGGACAAUGGGCGAAAGCCUGAUCCAGCAAUGCCGCGUGAGUGAUGAAGGCCUUAGGGUUGUAAAGCUCUUUUACCCGGGAUGAUAAUGACAGUACCGGGAGAAUAAGCUCCGGCUAACUCCGUG